UGGAGGACCUUGGACAUGUCGGCGGCCGCCUUCUUCGCGUUCUUGGCUACCAGGGCGGUGUAUCGCGCGGUCUCUGGCAUCUUCAUCCGCCAGUAGUAGGUUAGGGCGGCCGGGAGGGCUCCCAGCAUGAGAAUUAUGCGCCAGAUGUAAUCGGCCUGCGAUACGGUGGAGCCUUCCCGGUCGAACUGGUAGGCCGGCGCGUCAAAGCGGCUCUUGAAGGCGGCGGAGACAAUGAGGGCGACGAUGCCGCCGGUGAGGAUGCCGAAGCCCUGCAUGGCGAAGACGGCAGCGAUGAAGGCUCCGCGGGUCCUCUUGUUGGCAUACUCCGACAUGAUGGUGGC
rnacentral:lncRNA from 1 species